UUCCUGCCCCACCCUAACUGAUCAAUGUACUUUGUAAUCUCCCCCACCCUUAAGAAGGUUCUUUGUAAUUCUCCCCACCCUUGAGAAUGUACUUUGUGAGAUCCACCCCUGCCCACCAGAGAACAACCCCCUUUGACUGUAAUUUUCCAUUACCUUCCCAAAUCCUAUAAAAUGGCCCCACCCCUAUCUCCCUUCGCUGACUCUCUUUUCGGACUCAGCCCGCCUGCACCCAGGUGAAAUAAACAGCCAUGUUGCUCACACAAA